AGAGAAACUGGAAGACAUCUUAGUGUUACAUCUGACUAAUGGGAAAGAUUCUUUUAUCACAGUCAGUGGUAACUAUAUGACCAGCUCAUUUGGAUCAUCCAUAGAAGCACUAAUCCAGAUGCAUGGACCUAUCAGAGAAGUUCCUGUUGCUGAGCUGAUUGAAAUAGAGCAACCAGGGAGUCUAAGCCGAGUGGACAUUACCAAAGAUGGUGGGAGACUUUACAUGGUGCCUAAGGAGAUAUGGAAGAUGGUGGAUUUCUUACAUAAAUAUGCCAUGA
rnacentral:sRNA from 1 species